rnacentral:misc_RNA from 1 species
GUUUCGAUUGCCGUUUCUAAGUGUCGUUUUGCGUUCCAAUUAUCGUGUUUGAAUAUCGUUGUAGGUAACGUUUUCGGCUACCGUUUUGCGUGUCGUUCUUUGAGUAUCUCUUUGAGUACCGCUUUGAUUGCCGCUUUUAAGUAUCGUUUGGCGUGCCGUUGCCGAUUGCCGUUUUUGCGUAUCGUUUCCAAAUAUCGUUUGAGUAUCGUUUCGACUGUUGUCUCCGAAUACCGUUUCCGGAGUAUCGUUUUUGGAAGUAUCGUUCUUGGUUAUCGUUUUCUGAAUAAAUCAGUUUGAGUAUCGUUCUCUGUGACGCCUUGUUUGGCGAAUAUUGUACUUUGAUUUGUGUUUAAUAUCACUAGUUGCGUUUCGAUAUGUUUCUCAGGAGAGCUUCAGAAUUGUAUAACUGCGCCACCGUGCGCCGCGUGUAGGUAUCAGUAAUAGCACGUAUGUCUACGCGUACGCGUGAACGCAUGUAAAAAAAUAAAGAGUUAAAUAAAAAGUGCUUAAGCAAGAUUAGCGUGAGUCAAUUGAGUAAACCAGCCUACAAAUAAAAUACGUGCCGAGCACCCAGCUAAGCAAAAGCUGCAAACAUGGUCCUUCGAGCCGGAUAAUAUUGCAAACCGGGCAAUACAAGGAAAGCACGUGGUAUUGAGGUUAACUGGCGUUGCACGCAGAAAGGUUUGUUCGUCAAAUGAGCAAUAGUGAUUUAUGCUUUCCGUGCAUCACGUGAAACCUAGACGGAUAUUCGGAACGAGACCAGGCAAGGAUCUCGCAUCGCCCUGCUCGCAGUAACCGCACGAAGCAAGCGUGGGACAAGAACAACGAAGUUUUCCUUUUUGUCGCUCGUCACGCGGCUUGUUGGACAUAAGCCGGGUCUACAAUGAGUCGGUAGUCGGUAAUCGGAAAUCGGAAGUCGUAAGUCUUAACCUAAGUCGGUGACUCUAUCAAUUUUUCGUAUCCACAAUGAGUCGCUAGUCGUAAAGCGAAUCUCUCAGCUGGACCAAUAGGAAAACUGAUUUUUUGAAAAGGUGACUGUUGACUUUCAUUGACCUCAAACCAUUGUCGUUGUUUAUACCGGUGAUCGCUGGUGAAACGUGAUGAGUGACGAAAGUGAAAAUUCUGUGAAAAUGGACGAUGAAGAAAUAAUUAUAAUUAUGGUGAUGUAAAUGAUGUUAUAAUCUUUCACGGUGGGAGCGUAUCACAUCUUCAUGAGACAUAAUGGUCGAAGGUGGUGGGGCAGACCUGUGAACAGGCUAUUCACUCAGCAAGGGAAUUUCAUGAACUUGUUUCAUGAAUUAAAAGAAACAGAUCACGAAGAAUUUUAUAAGUACACAAGAAUGACUCCUACACAAUUUGGUUGGACUGGUUGUUGGAAAAAGUUGGUCCUUUUUUGAAGAAGAAGAGCAUGCGACGACCUUUUCCACCAGAGCUGCGUCUUGCCGUCACUUUGGAAUAUCUUGGUCAUGCCGAUAGUGUGUGGCAGAAGAAAUGGAGUUUUCGGAUUGGACGUUCAACUGUGUAUAAAAUAAUCCCAGAGACUUGUGCCGCAAUAUGGAUAGCAUUGCAGCCAAUAUAUUUACCUCUAAUGCAGAGGAAUAACUGGCAAGAAAUUGUACAAGGGUUUUGGCACCAAUGGAAUUUCCCCAACUGCUUGGGAGCAGACGGAAAACAUAUUAGAAUUCAAGCUCCCCCAGCACAGGCUUACUUUAUUAUAACUACAAAAAAUUUUUUUCAAUUGUUUUGAUGGCAGCCUGCAAUGCAAACUAUAAAUUUACAUGGGUAGAUAUAGGUGACUAUGGUGGCAUUUCUGAUGGUGGAGUGUGGGCAAACUCCGACUUUGGUCGUAGCCUGGACAGAGGACAAGUGGAUUUACUUUUCCUUCAGCAUUGGCCUGGAAUGGUGGAACCAAUGCCCUUUACGUUUGUCAGUGAUGCUGCAUUUCCUCUUAAAACCUUUAUGAUGAAACCGUAUGCAAAACCCAAGCGAAGGAGAAACCAAGGACAGCAAGAAGAGGAAGAAAGAAAUGAAGAAAAUUAUUACGACAAAGAUGUUGUUGUGGGCCUGGGAAUGCCAGAAAUGAUUUUCAACUACCGACUCUCAAGGGCUAGGAGAGUUAUAGAAAAUGCCUUCGGUAUUCUUGUGGCAAAGUGGACCAUUUUGAAAGGCAGCAUCGCCUGCAAUUUGGAGACCUGUGAAACAAUAGUGUUAGCUUUGAUGGUGCUCCAUAAUUUCCUCCUGUCUUCUGAAGAAGAAUUGCCAAUCAACAACAUUGAUACAAUGUUCAAGGGUUGACUGACCAGGAAGGGUCACAUGGUGAGCUAUUUCAAAAUGGUGCAUGGCGUAGAGAAGUGCCUGAUAUAAAUAUAUUCCAACGAAUUGGAAGGAUGGGUAAUAACAAUGCAGCCGCUGAUGCCAUCAAACUUAGAAAUAACUUAAGGGACUACUUUGUAAGCGAAGCUGGUGAAAUUGAAUGGCAAUACGAAAUUGCUACUCGAAAUAAUCCUAUUAUGAGAGGACCAUUGUAGAGUUUAUAACUGUCAUGUAUAUAAAGGCCUGGUACUGUGGUUUUUCGAGAAAUUAGAAGAUACCAGAAGUAACUGAUUGUGAGUUGCUGAUACGAAAAUUGCCAAAUUGCCGUUCCAACGCUUGGUUCGUGAAAUCGCAUAGGAUUUCAAGACCGAUUUGUCCGAAACUUCCCGUGUUUUACAACUUAAUAAUUUAUAUCACAUAGAUAUUCGUAUAUUUACAAGAUUUAAUU